AGCUUUUCGAAUUCGUGUUAAGAUUUUGUCAGACAUCAAUCCAUUAGAGCUAAUCACACUUCCAAGAUAAGUGAAGUU
rnacentral:pre_miRNA from 1 species